UACGUAGGGUGCGAGCGUUAUUCGGAAUUACUGGGCGUAAAGCGUGCGCAGGCGGUUUUGUAAGUCAGAUGUGAAAUCCCCGGGCUUAACCUGGGAAUGGCAUUUGGGACUGCAAGGCUCGAGUGCGGCAGAGGAGACUGGAAUUCCUGGUGUAGCAGUGAAAUGCGUAGAUAUCAGGAGGAACACCGAUGGCGAAGGCAGGUCUCUGGGCUGACACUGACGCUCAUGCACGAAAGCGUGGGGAGCAAACAGG
rnacentral:rRNA from 1 species